ACACAACAAAAGCAAACAUGGUGCAGUCUGUUAUAACCGUUUAUUAAUGUUCUAUGGGAACGUGAAGGUACAUCAUUUUGUUUCCUCCACCGUUGAGUGAAACAAACAAAAGUAGCCAAUUGACAUAAACAUUUCAAUCGAAACAUACGUAGAAAACAACUAAAAGUCUGCAGACGUGUGUAUGAAGGUAAUAUACCUGCUUUAAGAUUGGUACACCCUCCCACAGCCUCCAGCUGAAAAUUUGAAUAAAAAAUGUUGCAACAUUUUAGAAUAUUUCAUGCAACAUGUGAGAAGCAAUGACUCCUUGGUUUUUGGGCGGACCUAGAACUGCAUAAUUUGGGGAGGCCACCAAUACAAUACACACAUACCCAGAGUUACUUCCUUUCUCUGAACACAAAGGAGUCAUAGAAAAAGUUAUUGGAAAAAACAGUUUUUGCAUCUUCUGAUUAUAAAAAUAUCAGAUAUAAAUCGCUUCUGAGUAUAAGUCACACCCAUGAAGUCUCUUUCUGAAAAAAACAUGAUUUAUAGUCCUAAAAAUAUGGUAACAGUUUAGCAAGACUGCUUAGAUUUGGUGAGGGAAAAGCAGAAUCAUUUUAUAUUUGCCUUUAGCGCCAUCUUUUGACUUGUUUCCCCAGAGCCGCAGUGUGAAUGUAAAGAACCAGGUCAAGUCUGGAUUUCAAAACGUCAGCAGCCUUGAAAUUGCAGGUACACUGUUGCCCCAUUUGCUCAUCAUUUUUGUCUUUUCUCUCUCUUUUGUCUUCAUGAUGGUUGUUUUAUCGGCAGCUCUGGUUUUCAGUUUCUUGUUUUUUUCACGCUGCAGGACCAGUUCUGCCCUCCUCCCUUCACGCCAUCAUCGGCCUCCUCCGUUCUGCACAGAAGGGGAACUUCUCCGCCUCUCUGUACACGCACGCCCCAACGGCGGUGAUGAACGCAAACGCCUUUGAACAUAAAGACACCACAGUGGAUCUAUCAGGCAUCGGCCUGCCCCCCACCUCGGUGGAGCAGCUGCAGCAGCCCCCCAGCUUAGGCCAGUCUGCCCUCUCUCACAUCUCCAUGAACGACUACAGUUACAGCUGGAGGAGCUGACUGAAGCCAUGGUGGGUCAGCCGGUCGCACAAACUCCAGAAGACCAGAUUCUUUGGAUCUUUAAGGACUAAAUGAGAAGACCGGUUCUAUAUUCACAAACUUUCAUUGAUGGGGUGGUUUCAAUAAAUUCUUUUAACUUUU